rnacentral:rRNA from 1 species
GACGAACGCUGGCGGCGUGCUUAACACAUGCAAGUCGAGGGAGAACCUCGGAAGGGGUAACCCUUCCGAGGGGAGACCGGCGAACGGGUGAGUAACACGUGGGCGACCUGCCCCAGGCUCCGGAAUAACCUCGGGAAACCGGGGCUAAUGCCGGAUACGCUGCUCGGAUCGCAUGAUCCGAAUAGGAAAGCUCCGGCGGCCUGGGAUGGGCCCGCGGCCUAUCAGCCUGUUGGUGGGGUAACGGCCCACCAAGGCGACGACGGGUAGUUGGCGUGAGAGCGUGGCCAACCACACUGGGACUGAGACACGGCCCAGACUCCUACGGGAGGCAGCAGUGGGGAAUCUUGCGCAAUGGGGGAAACCCUGACGCAGCGACGCCGCGUGCGGGAUGAAGGCCCUCGGGUUGUAAACCGCUUUCAGCGGGGACGAAGCGAAAGUGACGGUACCCGCAGAAGAAGCCCCGGCCAACUACGUGCCAGCAGCCGCGGUAAGACGUAGGGGCGAGCGUUGUCCGGAUCAUUGGCGUAAGCGCGCGC